CUAAGGAACCCUGGAAGGCCAGAGGCACCGAGAGGAAGUGGAGGGGGCAGACGCACAGGCGCGGGGAGGUGUCCCAGGCUGAGCACACCAAGGCUCCAAGUUCACCGGCCGCGGCACAGCCCGGAAGCAAGGGCUCGGCGGGGAGCCAAUUCUCAGUUGGCAGAGUUGUGCUUUUUUCAGUUCCAGAGUGACAAGUGGCUUCUCCCUAGAAGGGGAGAGACGUGCCUCCAUCCGUACGGGGUGAGAGGGCCAUGUCUGGGCUCUCUGUCCCUGGGAAAGCUUGACCGUCAGUGGGCACUCAGGAAGCACUUACUGGACGGAUUCGGCUGCUGCUCGUCCACUCUCACCCCUCAAGGGUUUUCCGCCCUGGGUGUGCUGGGUGGGCACGAGCUGACCCUUCACCCCAUCAGGGCACAGCAAGGCGGAACACUGAGCUUCCCUUCACCCGCUGGUAAGCGUGGUAGUGCACCGCACACAGGAAUCCGGGCGAGCUGGGAGGAGGCAGGAAACGGGGAUGCUCCUUUAUCUCCGUCCCGCCCAGUCUCCGCUCCACUCUCUGGGCACAGAGGGUGCGAAGGCAGACGGUUAUCCCCCCAUGCAGCUGGAACUACCCAGGGUUCCCCGGUUACUCUUCCCCCAGCAACCGCGAGACUGUCUGCUGAGUUCGGACUUCAAUCCUUCAGAAACUCUAGAUUAGUGCCUCUGAAAAUAAACCUGCUCACUCUUUCUCCUCAAGGAAUCUUCCUUGUUCCUGAUUGGAGGAGUCUCUUUACCUAGCCAGUGGCCUUAGCCUUUCUCCUUCCUACUUUCUGUGUACCAGGGCCCAAGCCAUGCCCUUCUGAACAUUCCAGCCCCUUCCCCGUCUGUUCUUGUAAGAGUGAUCGACUUUUUCUUUCCUCUCCAGAGAACAAGUUACUUGUUUUGGCAAGUAGUUAGGNNNNNNNNNNNNNNNNNNNNNNNNNNNNNNUCUCUCUCUCUCUCUCUCUCUCUCUCUCUCUCUCUCUCUCUCUCUCUCUCUCUCUCUCUCUCGUGUCUCUGUCUCCUUUCUCAUGCUGGUGAUAAAACCCACAGUCUUACCCAUGACCCACAAACCCUUCACACAGCCCUACACUCCUAGCCUCUUUCUACUUAGAUCUUCUAAAAAAAAAUGUAUUUUACAGAUAUUUUGUGAUCUUUUUUUCCUAAGGUGACAACCUUAGGAAAGUAAAAU
rnacentral:lncRNA from 1 species